GCAGUGCAGAAGGACUUCCGUCACAGGAAGGUCGUUGUACGGCAGGACAUAACCCCACUUGAACAAAAAACUCACCCUCCUCAUGAUUGAGUGGACUUUAAAUUGUUGAGUGACUGAAGUUAAGUUUUUGUUAGUUAGUAGUGAGGAACAAUCGGUCAACUGUGCCAAAUUGGAAAAUUUAUUACAUUUUGAGAUCAUUAAAGACGUUUAUUAGCGGUUUAAAAAGUUGUUGUCCGUAUUUGGUUGGAGUAAUUGCAUGUUAGUAUACACCAAAAACAUAAGAGUGGUUUUAAUUUCCUUCGACUAAUUGGAUCUUUCAUCGACUGAAUUAGUGCAUGAGACCUUCAGCGAUUCAGCUUUCUGACCUUCGAGCGUAUUCCGGUUCGAGGCAUUAUGUAAAAUACUUUUUUACUCAAAUCCAUCGAAUUUGAAGAGUUGACGAACUUAUUAACAUCGUUCGGUAAAGUAACUGUUCGUAAAAGUGUUGUGUACCUACUAUAUGUAAAUACGGAAAAGUAAUUCUAUACCGGCUUCUGUCAAUAUUGUCAGUCUGUAAACCUUUGUUGAGGACAUUUUCCGUUCAUUUGUGAUUGUGGUGGCAGUUUGCUUUCGGUGACUCUUUUCAAAUUGGCGUGUAUUUUCCUUGGCGGGAUUUUGGAUAUAUUCGUUUAGAUGAUCCUGCAAUGGGCUGACCAAUUAAACAAGUGAACCAACAGAAUGCCAUCAUCCUGAAGCCUCAAUUUUUCU